GCUUUAUAGGUAUAAUUUGCUAAUUUUAGAAGUGGUGAGUUAGGAGGUUGAGCCUAUUUUGUUGGGGCGACAAGGAAAUAAAUUAACUUUCUUUAAUAAAAACACGGAUGAGUGAAAAUUGGAUCCAUUAUUUAUGAUUAAAAGAUUAAGU
rnacentral:rRNA from 1 species